rnacentral:rRNA from 1 species
CCUACGGGAGGCAGCAGUGGGGAAUUUUGCGCAAUGGGGGAAACCCUGACGCAGCAACGCCGCGUGGAGGAUGAAGUAUCUUGGUACGUAAACUCCUUUCGAUGGGGAAGAUAAUGACGGUACCCAUAGAAGAAGCCCCGGCUAACUUCGUGCCAGCAGCCGCGGUAAUACGAGGGGGGCAAGCGUUGUUCGGAAUUAUUGGGCGUAAAGGGUGCGUAGGCGGUUCAGCAAGUCUCGUGUGAAAUCUUCGGGCUCAACCCGAAGUCUGCACGGGAAACUACUGGGCUUGAGUAAUGGAGAGGUGAGUGGAAUUUCCGGUGUAGCGGUGAAAUGCGUAGAUAUCGGAAGGAACACCUGUGGCGAAAGCGGCUCACUGGACAUUUACUGACGCUGAUGCACGAAAGCUAGGGGAGCAAACAGGAUUAGAUACCCUGGUAGUCCUAGCCCUAAACGAUGAUUGCUUGGUGUGGCAGGUACCCAAUCCUGCCGUGCCGAAGCUAACGCGAUAAGCAAUCCGCCUGGGGAGUACGGUCGCAAGGCNGAACUACAAUAGAAUAGACGGCGUGAGACGUGCCGACGGACGACGACGACGGGAGUAGG